GUACAAACACUAUGGUAAUAUUGUAAUUAAGGACAGAGAUAAAUAAGUAAUUUUAUAUUUAUAAUAAUUUUAAUUUGGCCCAAUGAUAUCAACAAGGGGCUUAAUUGAAUCAACAAAUGCAACCUGGAGUGUUUAAUCAGAAUUUUCCAGGGGUAAAUGUUAUAGGGAAAUAAAAGGAGGGGUUAAAUGGGUAUAUGGGUAAGAAAAGGAAAGAAAAGAAAGAAAGAAAGAGAAAGGGACGAAGAAAAAGAUAGAGGACAGGGAGUGCGGCUGUCAUUAAUGAGGCGGUUUGAGGCGUGGUGGCACGACUGGUGAAGGAGUAGACACCGAUGAGCUCGAUGGAGGAGAUGGCAGCAGUUAGGUGGCGGAAAACGUCAAGGAAAGACAACAAAUUUUAGACACUGUUCAUGGCUUUUCGGCAACAACAACCACUGAUUUCGGUGGCGAUCAACUCAUUUGAGAAUGGGCUUUCAUAUGGGGGAACAAUAUUGACAAAGGUGGCUGGAGAGGAGAGUUUCGAUGAAGGAAAGAUUGUGAAGGCAGCUCGCUUUUUGGACACUUCUGGCCAUUUUCGGCAAGGUUAGGCUGAUCAAAGCUCACCAACGGACUCUCCUUGUCACAAGCUUUCUAAUGACACCGAUUUCAUACCCGAUCAGACUUUGUUAGAAAUCAACAGUUGAGAAUUGUCGGUGAGAUUUUGAGAUGAUCUGAAACUGGAUCAAAGAAAUAGAAGAUGAAUUCAUUCUCUACGAAUUAUUUCGAGUUUUAGGCACCUCGGAUUGUCGAUCGGACUCUUGGAGGCUUUGGGUAAAUCUUUUAGCCUGUUAAUUUUAAAAAUUAUUAAUUAAAAGUUAUAUCAGUAUUAAUUGGAAAAAAAUGAUUUAAGGUAUAUAUGUAAGUAUUUUUAAGAAAUAAAAUAUGUGUUAAUGAAAUGGAGUAAAUUUUGAGUAUUGUGAUAAUUUUAUAAAACUCUACACUUAGUUGCUUUAUAAAUGUUAAUAAGGUGAAGCUAAUUAAUUAGAAUAUAAGAUUUAGAGGGUCAAUAAGCGAUAGCCAGAAUUUUCAUAAAUUAGAUUUUAAUUAGGUGAUUAGUCUAUAAUUAAAUUUGAUUGUGUUAAUAUUGAGUAAAUGAUAUGUGAUAAAAAAUAUCAUAUUUUGUUAGAAUAAAUAAAUGUAGUAAAUUUAAAUUUAAUUGAUUAGAAAAAAUAGGUGGAAUUAAUAUUAGCUAUAUGAUAUUAAGAUUUUUGGACUGAAAUAAUUAGUUUGGUUAUGAUGUUUGAUAUGUGAGGUAAGUCAGUUAUUAUUUUUGAAUACUCGAGAUUAAUUAUAAUAGCAAGUGAAUAAAUAUAAUAUUAAAAAUAAAUAAAUAGAAAUAAUAAUAAUUAUUAAUUUAGUUAUUGAUCAAUAUAGAGGAAAGUAAAUAUAAUGAAAAUUCUUGUGCUGAAAAAGUAUCUAGAUAGGGUAUAAGUAAUUUUUGAGUAGUUGUGGAUGAUAAAUUGUUUUGAUCAGUGAGAGAUUGAAUCUAGUAAAAUUAUUGGAGGUCUCAUAUGGAAAUUAUUAUGAGAUAUGUUGUGUGAAUUUUCUUGUAGGUUUUGGAUCCGUUUUUAUAAAGAAAAUUAGUAUGUAUUAUAGGGGAAGUGUUGUCGAAUUUCUGGUAUAAUUUAUUAAUUGGAAUAGAAAGGGAAUAACUAGAAUUAUGCUAGAGUAGAAUUAGAUUUUAGUGAUAAAUGUUGGUCAAGGAUUAUUAGAAAUAGAAUUUAAUAUUUAUUUCUAAAAUAUGUUUAUGCGUGAAUUUUAGGAUUGUGCGUUCAGAUAGCAAUUCGGAGGAAAUUAAUAGAAAAUUGAGUGAAGGUACAGUCGGUUAGGUCCUGCAUACCAGAUGAGUAGAUAAACUUAAAACAUUGUAUUUUUGAGUAAUAUAUCAUUUAUAAUAAUAUUCCUAUGAAUUGUUGAAAUGUUUCUAUGGAAAGUUACUUAGUUUAAAUGCAUUUCUGAACCAAAUUAUUUUCUAUAAAAAUUUAGGAAUAGAGAAUGGUUUUUAAAUUUUAUCUUAUAAAUGAAUAUAAAUUUACAUAACCGGAUAAAUGGAUAUACACUUAUUUAUGUGACCUAUAAAAUCACACAUUAGAUGUUGGGUGUAAUCAGAUGAUACUUUCUUUGGGACAUCGCUUAGUAUACACAUUGCUUUUGGGCGUAUGCUAGAUGGUGUCUUUUGGGGGAUUUGUCUUUUAGGGGAUUAAUGUAUGCUUUUGGGGCAUAUGCUGGAUAAAUCGGAUGAUUCUUUCUUUAAUUAUUUUUGUAAAUUUCUUUUGCCCAACUAAAAUAUUUUUUCAUUAAAUAUUUAUAUUCAGAAUAAUAACAAUAUUUUUAUCUAGUAGAAAAGUAUUCAAGGAUAACAUAAUAUGGUAUGAAUUUUAUUUAAAUCCUUGUUUGUUCCCCUUUUUUAUUUUUUUAUUCUCUCACUGAGUCUUACUCAUUCCUAUUUCCCAUUAGUUUUAUGUAGGAUAUUUAAGAGUUAGUUCAGGAUUAAAGCAUUAGUUUUAUGUAGGAUAUUUAAGAGUUAGUUCAGGAUUAAAGCAGUAAUAGUUAGAGCUUCAAGCUGCUAAACUCUAUAGUCUGAAAAAGAGAAGAUUGAGAAUUGGCAAAUUAGAUAGUUAGGCCCAGUUCGGGCAGGGACAUCACAAAUUGACUCAUUCAAAAAGGUUCUCUAUAUUUAUUUUAUUUUUAUCAAAUUGGAGAAAACCUUAUUUUUGUAAUGAAAACAUUAAUGAGAGUAAAGUAGAAAAGUCUGAAUAUUAUGAAAUUAGAGAGGAAAUGCUUGAAAUUUGAGUAAAUAACCGAAUGCUUGGUCAUGUAAUUGGAGAGGGAAUGCUUGUAACUGAGUAAAUAAAUAUGAACCUCUUCUUGACUUAUUACAAUAGGAUCUUAUUCCAACAAUAGUGAUUUUGUAUUACACCUAGAAUUAAUGGUGAUUUGAUAUAACCAAAGGUAAUGGUAAUUCAUAUAACCAGGGACUAUAAUUUGUUAGGUUAUUUUUUAAUGACUUAUAUUUAAAUUAGUAAUAUCCAUAUUUGAUUAAAAAAUAUUUUAUUUACAAAUUGCAGAUAGAAAUUUUGUAUUUAUGCAUAAGAUGAGCAAGAUAUGUUUCAAUAUCCACAAUUUUGUAAUAGUAGGAGAGAACCACAUUUAUAUGGGUGCACUAUUAUAAUAAAAGAAAAAUAUAAAAAAUAAAUAUAGAAGGUAUAACUAGAAAAGGUAAUUGGAGCUAUUGAUCUAUAAAAUCGCUUCUCAAUCUAUUUAUUAAUCCCAAGAUUUUGUAUGUGCUUUUAAUGAUGCAAAACAUUAUUAUUACUAACAAUUUUGUGUAAUAUUGUUGUUUUUAAUAGGUAUUCCAAGAUGAAGAUCAAGAUAAAAUCAUGAAGUAAUAAAAAUCACGACUACAAAAAAGAGCAAAAAUAGUCCAGUAGAGGUUGCGACCACGACAAGGAUUUUUUGACAAUGAAAUUCGUGCUGACAGUACAUUUAAUGACGCUUUUAUAGUUGUUAGAGAAAUUUGAGCUAACUAAUUUUUGUAACUGCUGUAUGGAGGAAAAACACUAUAAAUACUCACUUGGAACAUUAAAUUGAAGGUUUUUAAGCUCUCAAAAGAUAAAAUACAAGUGGAAAACAUCUUCUUACAUCUUUGAGCAUAGAAUUCAUCAUCAAAUCUUCUUGUGUUUCAUUUGUCAGGUUGAAAUACUUUUGUUUGAGGGUUGUAAGUUCACUCUACUUUUUACUAUUGAGUUAUAUUUGUAAGAGUGAACUUGAUUUCUUUCUUCUCUAAAUUAUUCUCUAUUGUAAGGGUUUGAGUGUGAGCCAUUAAAUAUUUGGAUUUGAAGUUUUGGGUGUUAGUCAUAGAAAAGUACUUGGUUUGAGUGUGAGCAAUAAAACACUUGAAUUUGAAGGUUUGAGUGUUAGCCUUUGAAAAAUAUUUGGAUUUGAGUAUUAGCCAUAAAAAAACACUUAGGUUCGAGUGUUAGCCAUCACAACACUUGUAAGAAGUUUGAAUGUGAGCUUGAAAAUAUUUGAGUUUGAUCUUGCACCCGUAAAAAGAUCAUUGAUAGUGGAAAUCUCAACUGAAGCUUGAGG
rnacentral:lncRNA from 1 species